UACCUGCUUGGGAAGUAACAUUCUGG
rnacentral:piRNA from 1 species